AACAUUAUUCACAUUAUUUACUAAGACCAAUAAAAGCAAUGUUUUAACUAGAGGACAAUCCACUUUAAAUAGUGAAAGUUCUGCUCAAAGGUUUUCAUUUUAAUUAUGAAUAUCAUUUGUAUUUGCUUUUAUGUCAUCAAUCACAUAAACCUCAAACUCAUUAGCAUGUGUUUCUCUUUACAGUGACUCAGGUUCUCCUGCAGUCAUAAUAACAUGUGAACAUAAUUCAUGUUUUAAAUGGAUUAUAUUUAAAACCCAAAUAUUGUUUUUAGAUAUAUGUGUAACUAACUUUUAGAAUCUUAAUUUAAUGUGACACUUCAUUUUACUUUUGAAAUAUAGUAUCUAAUUUGCAAUCCUUUACAGCCAACACUGAUUAUUUUCUCUUCUGAUUUUCCCCUUACAGACUGAACCGUGAACAGCCUUUGUGUAGAGCUGCUACAAAGCACACUGGUAUGCAAUUUACAUCCUGGUCUAAAUCUUAGAAACUUGUGAAAUGAGAAGGAGCUUCAUUAUCAGGUGGAGCAGUAAAGUGAAUCAAGUCAAUGAUCAGAACAGAGAGGAUUCUGGGUCUUCAGUAUGAAGCCUACAAUAAUAAUGAUUUUGGGAUUAAUGCUAAUCAUAAUUCUAAUUAUCAAAUUUAGCACUCAGAUAUAUAUUUUUUUACAUUUACAUUUUUAUAAUAUAUGGUAUAUAAUGUAUCAAAAUCACGUAAGCUAAAAUUUUCUAAUGUCAGGCAAAAGAUGUGUUUGCUGUAAACAGAGACACGAUAAGAUCUGAUCUCAUGUCAGUUCUACUUGAUAUUGUUUUAUGAGCUUUAAUACAAGUUUGAGCUAAAGACUAAA